GGUCCCUUCAAAUCAGGCCGGCCUGGUCAAGUCCAUCGGAUUGCUGGUACGAUAGUCCGUCAUGGCGCAAGGAACCACUUGGCAAGAUCUCAGAUGAGGUAAG
rnacentral:rRNA from 1 species